rnacentral:rRNA from 1 species
AUUGAACGCUGGCGGCAUGCCUUACACAUGCAAGUCGAACGGUAACAGGUCUUCGGAUGCUGACGAGUGGCGAACGGGUGAGUAAUACAUCGGAACGUGCCUAGUAGUGGGGGAUAACUACUCGAAAGAGUGGCUAAUACCGCAUGAGAUCUACGGAUGAAAGCAGGGGAUCGCAAGACCUUGUGCUACUAGAGCGGCAGAUGGCAGAUUAGGUAGUUGGUGGGGUAAAGGCUCACCAAGCCGACGAUCUGUAGCUGGUCUGAGAGGACGACCAGCCACACUGGGACUGAGACACGGCCCAGACUCCUACGGGAGGCAGCAGUGGGGAAUUUUGGACAAUGGGCGAAAGCCUGAUCCAGCCAUGCCGCGUGCAGGAUGAAGGCCUUCGGGUUGUAAACUGCUUUUGUACGGAACGAAAAGGUUUGGCCUAAUAAGCUGAGCUCAUGACGGUACCGUAAGAAUAAGCACCGGCUAACUACGUGCCAGCCGCCGCAGUAAUAC